CCUAGUAAGCGCAAGUCAUCAGCUUGUGCUGAUUACGUCCCUGCCCUUUGUACACACCGCCCGUCGCUACUACCGAUUGAAUGGCUUAGUGAGACCCUCGGAUUGACGUUCAUAGACUGUAAAAGGUCCUUGUCUGCUGAGAAGUUGGUCAAACUUGGUCAUUUAGAGGAAGUAAAAGUCGUAACAAGGUUUCCGUAGGUGAACCUGCGGAAGGAUCAUUAAAAAUUUUUGAUCUCGGCGCGAAAGCGUCCUGUACUUAAAACCCCCCCCCACCCUUUUAAACAAAUUUUUAUUAAUAAUGAUAAUUAAUCAUGAUCACUUUCAACAACGGAUCUCUUGGCUCUCGCAUCGAUGAAGAACGUAGCGAAGUGCGAUAAGUAAUGUGAAUUGCAGAAUUCCGUGAAUCAUCGAAUUUUUGAACGCAAAUUGCACUCUCCUUCGGGGAGUAUGCCUGUUUGAGGGUUGUUAAAAUAAAAGAAUCGAUGCGUCGCGUUUUCGUGACGUCUAUCGGAAUUGGGUCAUCUUUUAAAAGGUUGAUUAGGUUAAUCUUUAAAAGAGGCUUAAAAUUGAUCUCAUUCGGGUACGAUUCGAGCGUGGUUAAUAAAUAACGUUCGUUUGGUAUCGGUAUCUUAUUAGGCGCGACCGUCUCAUGCGGCCUUGCGCCCAUAACGAUAUGAAAUUUAGACCUCAAAUCAGGUAGGGAUACCCGCUGAACUUAAGCAUAUCAAUAAGCGGAGGAAAAGAAAAUAACAAUGAUUCCCUUAGUAACGGCGAGCGAAGGGGGAAUAGCUCAAAUUUUAAAUCCGUUAGGUUUUACCUAACCGAGUUGUAAUUUGAAGAAGCGUUUUUCGCGAUUUCGUAUUAGCCCAAAUCCUUUGGGAUAAGGUAUCAUGGAGGGUUAGAAUCCCGUCCGGCUAAGUCGAGGUUGCACUACGAUACGCUUUCUAAGAGUCGAGUUGUUUGGGAUUGCAGCUCAAAAUGGGAGGUAAAUUUCUCCUAAGGCUAAAUAACGGCGAGAGACCGAUAGCGAACAAGUACCGUGAGGGAAAGAUGAAAAGAACUUUGAAAAGAGAGUAAAACAGUACGUGAAAUUGUUGAAAGGGAAACGAUUAAAGUCAGUCGUACGGACGGGGAAUCAGCCUUUCGAGCGUGGGUUCGUGGGAUCCAAAGAUCCUUUGUUCUCGCGGUAUUUGCGUUCUUUUGGUGUACUUUCUCGUAUUGUAGGUUAACAUCGGUUUCGGUCGUUAUAAAAUGAUCGGAGGAAUGUGGCUUCGACCUCGGUUGAAGUGUUAUAGCCUUUGUUAGAUGUAACGGUCGGGAUCGAGGAUUGCAACGGAUGCUCAAAUGGGCUAUCCGCCUGGUCUCUGAUUCGUCACUUUGGCGUCGAAAGCUUGCUUACGAUGUUAAAGUGCGCGGUCAAAAGGUUAGAACGGAUUAAAUUCGUUAAGGAUGUUGACGUAAUGGCUUUAAACGACCCGUCUUGAACACGGACCAAGGAG
rnacentral:rRNA from 1 species